rnacentral:tRNA from 1 species
GCGUCCGUAGCUCAAUUGGAUAGAGCAUCUGACUUCGGAUCAGAGGGUUACAGGUUCAAGUCCUGUCGGGCGCGCCA